CGCGAAGAACCUUACCUGGUCCUGACAUCCACGGAAGUUUUCAGAGAUGAGAAUGUGCCUUCGGGAACCGUGAGACAGGUGCUGCAUGGCUGUCGUCAGCUCGUGUUGUGAAAUGUUGGGUUAAGUCCCGCAACGAGCGCAACCCUUAUCCUUUGUUGCCAGCGGUCCGGCCGGGAACUCAAAGGAGACUGCCAGUGAUAAACUGGAGGAAGGUGGGGAUGACGUCAAGUCAUCAUGGCCCUUACGACCAGGGCUACACACGUGCUACAAUGGCGCAUACAAAGAGAAGCGACCUCGCGAGAGCAAGCGGACCUCAUAAAGUGCGUCGUAGUCCGGAUUGGAGUCUGCAACUCGACUCCAUGAAGUCGGAAUCGCUAGUAAUCGUGGAUCGGAAUGCCACGGUGAAUACGUUCCCGGGCCUUGUACACACCG
rnacentral:rRNA from 1 species